ACACACACGAAAAACUUAAGUAUUUAAAAGAAUAUUGCACUUCUCUAAGUUACAUAAAGAUUGUUUGUUAUCUGAAAAUUCUGUUACAUUUCCUUUUCUAAUGUAAUUGUACAGAGUUAACAUGUCAGCUCUAGCUGCUUGGUGUUCAUUACUCCAUUCCCCGUGUAACAAGGCCACUGACAACUGUCAUAGAGACACAUGUCUGGGUUUCUGGGACACCACAGGCUCCUCACGUUUUGAGUGUUGGCAGAAAUUCUCGAAAAGUGUUUCAGAAAUUCUAUUCUGUGCUGUUGAAGCUGAAUUCUAGAAGAGUAUUUUGGAGCCUGUAUCACAGUGCUCUGUUAAGAGCAUGUACCAAAAGCCUCACAUAAUCAAGAGAGCAUGCUCCAGGUGAGCUAGAGAGCAUGGCCCAGGUGAGCUAGAGAGCACUGCCCAGGUGAGCUAGAGAGCAUGCUCCAGGUGAGCUAGAGAGCAUGGCCCAGGUGAGCUAGAGAGCAUGGCCCAGGUGAGCUAGAGAGCACUGCCCAGGUGAGCUAGAGAGCAUGGCCCAGGUGAGCUAGAGAGCAUGGCCCAGGUGAGCUAGAGAGCACUGCCCAGGUGAGCUAGAGAGCACGGCCCAGGUGAGCUAGAGAGUAUGGCCCAGGUGAUCUAGAGAGCAUGGCCCAGGUGACCUAGAGAGCACUGCCCAGGUGAGCUAGAGAGCAUGCUCCAGGUGACCUGGAGAGCACGGCCCAGGUGAGCUAGAGAGCAUGGCCCAGGUGAGCUAGAGAGCACUGCCCAGGUGAGCUAGAGAGCACGGCCCAGGUGAGCUAGAGAGCACGGCCCAGGUGAGCUAGAGAGCACGGCCCAGGUGAGCUAGAGAGCACGGCCCAGGUGA
rnacentral:sRNA from 1 species